rnacentral:tRNA from 1 species
GGUGAAAUGGCUGAGGUGCAGGCAAUAGAUUGUAAAUCUAUGUACGAGGAAUUUUCUCUUUUACCA